CAUGUCUAGUAUAGCAAUUAUACCGUGAAACUGCGAAUGGCUCAUUAAAUCAGUUAUCGUUUAUUUGAUAGUACCUUACUACUUGGAUAACCGUGGUAAUUCUAGAGCUAAUACAUGCUGAAAACCCCAACUUCGGGAGGGGUGUAUUUAUUAGAUAAAAAACCAACGCCCUUCGGGGCUUCUUGGUGAUUCAUGAUAACUUCACGGAUCGCAUGGCCUUGCGCCGGCGACGGUUCAUUCAAAUUUCUGCCCUAUCAACUUUCGAUGGUAAGGUAUUGGCUUACCAUGGUUUCAACGGGUAACGGGGAAUUAGGGUUCGAUUCCGGAGAGGGAGCCUGAGAAACGGCUACCACAUCCAAGGAAGGCAGCAGGCGCGCAAAUUACCCAAUCCCGACACGGGGAGGUAGUGACAAUAAAUACUGAUACAGGGCUCUUUUGGGUCUUGUAAUUGGAAUGAGUACAAUUUAAACCUCUUAACGAGGAACAAUUGGAGGGCAAGUCUGGUGCCAGCAGCCGCGGUAAUUCCAGCUCCAAUAGCGUAUAUUAAAGUUGUUGCAGUUAAAAAGCUCGUAGUUGAAACUUGGGCCUGGCUGGCAGGUCCGCCUCACCGCGUGUACUUGUCCGGCCGGGCCUUUCCUUCUGGAGAACCUCAUGCCCUUCACUGGGUGUGUUGGGGAACCAGGACUUUUACUUUGAAAAAAUUAGAGUGUUCAAAGCAGGCCUUUGCUCGAAUACGUUAGCAUGGAAUAAUAGAAUAGGACGUGCGGUCCUAUUUUGUUGGUUUCUAGGACCGCCGUAAUGAUUAAUAGGGACAGUCGGGGGCAUCAGUAUUCAAUUGUCAGAGGUGAAAUUCUUGGAUUUAUUGAAGACUAACUACUGCGAAAGCAUUUGCCAAGGAUGUUUUCAUUAAUCAGUGAACGAAAGUUAGGGGAUCGAAGACGAUCAGAUACCGUCGUAGUCUUAACCGUAAACUAUGCCGACUAGGGAUCGGGCGAUGUUCUUUUUUCUGACUCGCUCGGCACCUUACGAGAAAUCAAAGUUUUUGGGUUCUGGAGGGAGU
rnacentral:rRNA from 1 species